rnacentral:rRNA from 1 species
AGUCGAGCGGUAACAGGAAUUAGCUUGCUAAUUUGCUGACGAGCGGCGGACGGGUGAGUAACGCGUAGGAAUCUGCCUGGUAGUGGGGGACAACAUGUGGAAACGCAUGCUAAUACCGCAUACGCCCUACGGGGGAAAGGAGGGGAUCUUCGGACCUUUCGCUAUCAGAUGAGCCUGCGUGAGAUUAGCUAGUUGGUGGGGUAAAGGCUCACCAAGGCGACGAUCUCUAGCUGGUCUGAGAGGAUGAUCAGCCACACUGGGACUGAGACACGGCCCAGACUCCGACGGGAGGCAGCAGUGGGGAAUAUUGGACAAUGGGCGCAAGCCUGAUCCAGCCAUGCCGCGUGUGUGAAGAAGGCCUUCGGGUUGUAAAGCACUUUCAGAAGUGAGGAAGGGUGUGUAGUUAAUACCUACAUAUCUUGACGUUAGCUUCAGAAGAAGCACCGGCUAACUCUGUGCCAGCAGCCGCGGUAAUACAGAGGGUGCAAGCGGGAAUCGGAAUUACUGGGCGUAAAGCGCGCGUAGGUGGUUUGUUAAG